rnacentral:tRNA from 1 species
GUUCAUAGACUGAUAUCGAGGUUAACAUGUCCGUCUAUGACUCCGAAUGCCUGGGUUCAAAUCCCAGCGUGAACA